UGGAGGGGCCCAGGAAGUGGGAUUGAGUGGGAAUGGGAAUGGGCAUUGGAAUGGAAAUGGGAAUGGAAAUGGGAGUUUGUGAGUUUGUGAGUGAGAGCUCCCCAGUGCAUUGUGCAAUUCGCAUGCUCAAUAAAGUCAAAGACGCAUAGCUCUCGGCGUAAGCGGGCGCUGGCAGAUGGCAUAAAUUUUGAAAUAAAAUAAUAUAAAAUAUAAAUUCAGCUGCAGUCAGUCAACGAAUGCAGGCGACAGAUAGACGCAGUGUGAAUUUAACUGACAUCCCCCUCUUAUCGGCCAGCUGGGAGCGGGAUCACUUCCUGCUCUCGCUUUCGCUUGCGCGAGUGUGCCAGUGUGUGAUAUAUCAUAAGCGUGCGUCUGACAAGCGUAAGUACCGCCGCUGUCACUGUCACAGGAUUCACAGGACUAACAGGACCAAAAGGAGCGGCAGGAGGGCAAGUGGAAGCGCCAGAAAGAGCGCCAACUCCUCGGCGUCGACGCGUGUUAUUACACCAUGCGGCAUACUUUUAGCGCCACUCAAAGAACAUUUCACUGACAGUCAGUGUUGGGGUGUAUCUAGGUACUUGUACCUAGGUAUGUACCUAGGUAAUUUUUUUCGGUAUCUUUUACCUUACCUAGGUAAAAAAAUAUUUGGCUACCUUUUACCUUACCUAGGUACGAAUUUUCGUUUACCUUAAGUUUUAGCUAUGUAAGGUAUUUAGGUACUUCCAUACGUGUAUGUAAAUAUUGUGCAUAUUAGAAAUAGCCCUGCUUCACAGCAAUGCAAUCGAAAACUUAGAAAUAUGAUAGUUCCACCACUUACUCACAGAGGUCUUUAUGGUAAGAAUGCAAAAAUAUUUUCCGUUGGAAUUUGGUAUAAUGCUAAAUUAGCAAUGCCGUUGCUACCUAAACAGUGCACUUUUGUCGAUGACAUUGGUUCCUAGAAAACGUCACAACAAAUCUUAAAAUGAGAAAAGAAGACGCAGAAAAAAAGGAACUACCAUUAAUUUUAAAUGGUACUUUCUUUUUACCGGACGGGAAGUGCAAACUGUGUGUGAACCAAACUAUCAAAUUUGAUGAAAAGUCAACCGGCAACUUGCAUAAACAUCUGAAGAGGGUUCACCCGAACAGUUAUUCUUCGUAUGAAGCUUUGAAAGCGAAAAAUUCAAAAAUAGAAGUGAAAAUUUCCGGUGAUCUCAAAAAAAGAAACCAAUGUGACUUAUGUUUAUAUCUUUGUAUCUCAGAAAAAGAAACUGAUAAUAAAAAUUUCAAAUUUAAAAAA